rnacentral:rRNA from 1 species
AGAGUUUGAUCCUGGCUCAGAACGAACGCUGGCGGCGUGCUUAACACAUGCAAGUCGAACGGUUGAUACGGGUAACUGUAUUGGCCGUGGCAGACGGGUGAGGAAUAUAUGGGAACGUACCCUAGAGUUCAGGAUAAUCCUUGGAAACGAGGAAUAAUACUGGAUACGACUGGGAAGAGAAAGGCAUUUAUGUCGCUCUGGGAGCGGCCCAUAUCGGAUUAUGGCAGUUGGUGGGGUAAAGGCUUACCAAGCCUGUGAUCUGUAGCUGGUUUGAGAGGAUGAACAGCCACACUGGGACUGAGACACGGCCCAGACUCCUACGGGAGGCAGCAGUGGGGAAUAUUGGACAAUGGGGGAAACCCUGAUCCAGCGACGUCGCGUGGGUGAUGAAGGUCUUCGGAUUGUAAAGCCCUUUUGUAGGGGACGAUAGUGACGGUACCCUACGAAUAAGCUCCGGCCAACUUCGUGCCAGCAGCCGCGGUAAUACGAAGGGAGCAAGCGUUGUUCGGAAUGACUGGGCGUAAAGGGCGCGUAGGCGGAUAGAUACGUCGGGUGUGAAAUCCCUGGGCUUAACCCGGGAAUGGCACUGGAUACGGUUUAUCUAGAGUGUGUGAGGGGAAGACGGAAUUGCGAGUGGAGAGGUGAAAUUCGUAGAGAUUCGCAGGAACACCGGCGGCGAAGGCGGUCUUCUGGU